AGCACCGACUCCUCUAUCUGUAGUUAACAGAACAAUUAUAGAAGACAGGUAUGACAUUCCAGAUGUUCCAAUGGAGGAGGAUUAGAUUUGCUACCGCUGUUCUUUCUUUUUUUGGUAAAGGUGGUUCAACAAAUUCUGGGCCGAACUUCACCAGAUAAACGUCCAAUUGAGGUCAAGUUUAGGUGAUCGAAGAAACUAGUGAUUAUAUAGCACAAGGUCCACCUUAUUUAUAUUCUAUUUACCACGUUUUUUGUUUAAAUGUUCGGUACAUGUUCAUUUAUUUUAUUUUGUAAAUUAAAUAAAUAAAAACUAGCUUCUUCCUGCA